CCAAAUUGCAGUGGGAAAAGAACAAUGAAAAUCCAUUUAAUCCUGAGCUGUCACAGGGGCUGGAAAUAAAACACCCUUGCUGUUGUUCAGUGGACUUCCUCUCACAGUAUUCUAGUGGAAUGCUGUUAUCCCAAGGAGUAUCAGAGUGAGAAUCAGCUGUUCAUGUCCUUUUGGCGCACCUGUGAGAUUUUUGUUUGCGUGGAGAAUUGUGCUGUGCUGGGGGGAAUGGACAGAGUCACCCAGAGAUUUAAGGCAGUGAAUGAUGGUGAGCUAGCAACAUCUUCUGAAACAUGCUGAUCACCAAUAUCUGCCAACCUGUGUUCUGAGAGAGGGGGAGAGAGAGCAAGAGAGAAGGUUUUAUACAUGGAAGUAGGAAUACAUCUAUAACAACAUAUAUCAAACUUCUUAAAUGAUAAUACACAGAGUGUUUUAGAUGGUCAAGCCAAUAUUUAAUGGAAAUGUAAGUGAACAUAAUUUGAAGUAUUGUUCUUUUCUGACAUCAUCUCUUUGGUCACUAUGGAUUGGCCACCUGCACUGAGGUAUGUUGUUUAGCCAAAUUGCUCAUUUAGUUUCAUUAUUAUGCAUACAACUUUACUGACAGGGGAGAGAGGAGAUUAUCAGAUCUUUAUGAAAAUCUUGCUCAAAGAAAUUAUAUUUUUCCUUUGAUAAUUUGUCUAUGUGAAUUUCAUGCAGUUAUUUGAUCAAGAAAUGGUAUGAAAGCUUAUAAUCUUAAUCUUUCCUAAUUUACAAGUUACAUUAAUAAAGCAGACGUAAGACUAUCAUGUAGCUUAAUAUAAAAUAAAUAUUUGCAGGUCAUUUACACUGACAGAAUCUUUGGAUAAAAUAAAAAGGAGGCAGAUGCUUGGCUUAU